rnacentral:lncRNA from 1 species
AUGAUUUCUCGAUCAACUUCUAUACGAUAUCUAUUUAGCCUAAGCUCUUGGGACAUUAUCCUGAAAUCCACUAUACAUGUUCUCACUCCACCAUGUGGCGAAUUAGAUUGGUAUCCACUAUGUAUCGAUUUGAGCAAAGAUGUAGUCUAAACAUUGCCCUCCACAUUCCAUCGGCCAUCAACCAUAUAGGGUGAUGGCAUGUACAGUCAUCCAAGUACCUAGACCGAAGCUCCAACAUUCAACUCUCUAAAUAAUUGCACUUGUAAGAAUUUUCGCUCUUCUUAAAUUUAUCUUUUUCAUAGUAUGGGAAUCAUAUAGCGGCACUUCCUCUCCUCUAUAGUAGUUGCGUGCUGAUAUAGCAUGUGUAGUAUUUUGAAGGGACAAUGUUAUCUAAUUUUUGAAGAUCUCAUAAUUACUACACAAUCUCUUCAUGCCAUACCUUGGUAUGGGGCACUGUCCUAUUAUAUAUCGGGCACCAUCAUCAUAUUCGUCUCCUUCAUAGCAAUCUUUAUCUAGCUCUUAUCUUCUGCUCCACAACUUGUCUUCAUUGCUUGUUUACUUGCCAUGGAUUAGGAGGCUCGAUUCCAUGCUAAUGUUGAAUAGCGUCAAGAGGAUCUUGAAUGCGUUGGCGUCCUCAAGAAGCU